UAGUCCACGCCGUAAACGAUGGUUACUAGCUGUUGGGCCGAUUGGGGCUCAGUGGCCAAGCGAAAGUGAUAAGUAACCCACCUGGGGAGUACGUUCGCAAGAAUGAAACUCAAAGGAAUUGACGGGGGCCCGCACAAGCGGUGGAGCAUGUGGUUUAAUUCGAUGAUACGCGAGGAACCUUACCAGGGCUUAAAUGCAGUUGGACAGGGGUGGAAACACCCCCUUCUUCGGACUGAUUGCAAGGUGCUGCAUGGUUGUCGUCAGCUCGUGCCGUGAGGUGUCAGGUUAAGUCCUAUAACGAGCGCAACCCCUGUGGUUAGUUGCCAGCGAGUAAUGUCGGGAACUCUAGCCAGACUGCCGGUGCAAACCGUGAGGAAGGUGAGGAUGACGUCAAGUCUGCAUGCCCCUUAUGUUCUGGGCUACACACGUGCUACAAUGGUUAGGACAAAGAGUCGCCAACUUGCAAAAGUGAGCUAAUCUCGUAAACCUAAUCUCAGUUCGGAUCGCAGG
rnacentral:rRNA from 1 species